rnacentral:rRNA from 1 species
UACGUAGGGUGCGAGCGUUGUCCGGAAUUACUGGGCGUAAAGAGCUCGUAGGUGGUUUGUCGCGUUGUUCGUGAAAACUCACAACUCAAUUGUGGGCGUGCGGGCGAUACGGGCAGACUGGAGUACUGCAGGGGAGACUGGAAUUCCUGGUGUAGCGGUGAAAUGCGCAGAUAUCAGGAGGAACACCGGUGGCGAAGGCGGGUCUCUGGGAAGUAACUGACGCUGAGAAGCGAAAGCGUGGGGAGCGAACAGG